rnacentral:lncRNA from 1 species
GUUCCAAAUCCACUCUCUAGCAGCGUGUCACGGUACUUAAACUAUGCCAACCUGCCGCCAUCCUAUGGAGCGCUGCCUACUUUAUUUUUCAAAGUGAAAGGAGCACCAGGCUUUUCUGACGCGUGGAGAACUUUCGCUAGACCCUCUUUACUUUGCAGAGCUGCCCCAGCGGAGCCCAAAUCUCUAUACCAUCAGCGCCUUGCCACUGAAUCCUUAACUGUGGGCGAACCCCAAGGCUACACCAAGUGGCUAGGUGUUGAGUGUUGGAGACAAGGAACAAUUAACAUUGAGACAAAAGCUGGGUGGAUACCAUCUCCCAUCUCCAUAGAGUUCAUUCUUGACCUUACCUGGCUUGGUCUUGAUCCCUUUGCUCAUCACUCCUCCAUCUCUGCAACUGGAUUCCAGGAGUUUGGCUCAAUGCUUAGCUGUGGAUCUCUGCUUCUGCUUCCAUCAGUUACUGGAUGAAGGCUCUAGGAUGGCAUUUAAGAAACACCUGACCUGAGCAAGUGGGAGCUCAUGGACCGAAGCCAGACAGCUGGGGGACCAGCAUAGAACCAAACUAGAUCUCUUGAUCUUAGGUACCAAUUAGGAGGCGUGGGCAGUCUAUGGGGCCUCUUGUGGUCUAACCAGUAUUUAUUCCAGCACGAAUGGACUUUGGGAGCCCAUUCCUCCAUGGAGGGAUACUCUCUCAGCCUAAAUACAUGGGGGGAAGGCCUAGGCCCUGCCUCAAAUGAUGUGAAAGACAUUGAUGGUCCCUCGUGGAAUGCCUCACCCUCCCUGGGGAGUGGAUACGGAGUAGGGGGAAUUUUGUGGGGACCAUGGGAGGAUGGGAGGGAGAGGGAACUGAGAUUGAUAUGUAAGAUAAGAUUGUUUCUAAUUUAAAUAAAAACACAGAAAAAAGA